rnacentral:rRNA from 1 species
AUGCUCCUCCGGUCGCCGCCGCGGCGCCUCCACCUGCUCCGCCCGCACCGGCUUCGCGCUCUCUCCAACGCUGCCGCCGCGGCCCUCGCGGGCCCGCCCCCCGCCCCGACCGAGUGGACGGAGGCGCCCGUCGCCUCGGUCCGCGCGGCCACCGCCGACGCCUCCCUCUUCCACGUCUCCCUCGACCUCUCCGCCCACGGGCCCCUCCUCGCCUCCCACGUCGCCGCCGGCCAGUUCCUCCCCUUCCGCCUCCCCUCCGCGCCCUACCCCAUCUUCCUCGCCAUCUCCUCCCCUCCCCCGGCCUCCUCCUCCGGGUCUCCUCCCAAAUCGUUCGAUUUCCUCGUCAAGCGCCUCCCCGGCACCCCCUCCGCGCGCCUCUGCGACCUCCGCCCCGGCGACCUCGUCCCCGUCGGCGGCAGCGUCGUCGGCCGCGGGUUCGAGGUAAGCAGGAUCGCCGACGCCCGCGACGUCCUCGUCUUCGCCACCGGAUCCGGGAUCAGUCCAAUCCGGUCACUCAUUGAGUCAGGUUUUGGUGAAAGUGAGAAGAUUGAUGUAAGCCUGUUUUAUGGGGUGAGAAACCUUCAAAGGAUGGCUUAUCAGGAAAGGUUCAGUGACUGGGAAUCGAGAGGAAUAAAAAUUAUACCUGUUCUCUCUAGACCAGAUGAUCAAUGGACUGGCCAGCGAGGCUAUGUUCAGAAUGCAUUUUCAAGGGCAAAGAAGGUUAUAAAUCCAUCAUCGACGGGAGCAAUUUUGUGUGGACAUAAACAGAUGACUGAGGAAAUUACUAGAGCUCUUGUUGCUGAUGGUAUGUCCAAAGAUAAAAUCUUAACAAACUUCUGA